UGGUCACCUGCACUAAGAGCCUGAGAGAAAAGGACACUGCAUAUAUCACAGAGAGAUGCAUAGGUGUUACACUCAGAAAGAGAGUGAACAACUAGAAGAUGUGGAAGACCCAGUUUGGCUCUGGAGUCAAGAAUUCUCAAAACAGCUUUCUGAACUCUGAAUCGCAGUAAAGCUGGUGUUCUCCUGAAGCCAACACUUACGGUAUCACCUUGCUGAUCCAGGCAAAAUGGCAAAAGUGUAGUGAACAUAAAGCCAGGGGCUGAGAUUGUGGACGUCCUCUGUACCAAGUUUCUUAUUAUGAAAAUUCCAAGGGCCAAUUUUGAAACAAACCAGGCAGAGAGACCCAGAUGCAGAAUCCUGCAGGCUGAGGGAUGUCAGGAAGAGUUAGCCCACCACUGCUGCGCUGAAACCAGGAUGAUGCAAACUGGGCCUCAGGCCAGGAUCAACAUCUUGUCUAGACAGAGAAAUAUUGAUGGAGAUCAGAAAAUUUAUUAGAGUAUUUGAAGGUCUUGUGGGACUGGAGAGACAACGUUGGACACUUAAGUGGAAAAUCUGACACAUAACAGAGAACUGAGACUAUCAUUGUAUUUUUUAAAAAUAGUGGUUUUUGACAAACUGCAAAGGUUGCACAGUGGAGAAAAAAGUUUUUUCAACAAAUGGUUCUGAAUCAAUGAAAUAUCUAUAUAUGUUUUUAAAGUGAGCUUGAAUCCAUAACAUUGUACCACAUAAAACAUUAACGCAAGAUGUGUCAUAAACAUAAAAGUAACUCAUAAUUAUACAUUUUCUAAGAGAAAAUAUGGUAAAAAUGUAUUUUUGUUAGGUAAAGAAAUAGAUAGUAUGAUAAAAGCAUGAGCGUACAAGUGAAUAAGUUAGACUUUAUCAAAGUAAAAACUUCUGCUCUUUCAAAGACAUGCAUGAGGAGAAUAAUAAGAAAAGCCACACCUUGGAAAAAAAAUUUCAAAAUAUAUCUCAUUACAAACUGAUAUUCAAAAUUUAAAAACAGCUUUAUAAACUCAAUAAAAAGAAAACAAAUUAUUUUAAAAUUGAGUAAAAUAUUUGAAUAAACUCUUUACCAUAAAGACAGGUGGAUGGCAAAUAAGCCAUUAAUAGAUGCUGAGUCAUUACAGAAAUACACAUUAAACACAAAGUGAGAUAGUACUGCACACAUAUUAGAGAAGCUAAAAGUUAAAAGACUGUUGAUAUUAGGUUGUAAUAAGGUGAAGAAAAUUGGAACUCAUACACUUCAUGUGGGAAUGUGAAGUGGUAAAAGCACUUUUGAAAAGCAAUGUUUUGUGUUUGACACAAAAAGUGAUAAUAAUUUUAAAAACAGACUAUAUUAAGAUUAUAAUUUCUUUUCACCUAAAGACACACCAGUUAGACAAUGAAAUGGAAAACCACAAAAUAGUAGAAGAUAUUUGCAAUAAAUAUACCUGAUAAAGAUAUUAUAUUGAAAAAAUAUAGAGGUCCUACAAAUCAAUAAGAAAAAGCCAAAUACAAAAAUGUGCAAGUAACUUACACAGAAAUGUUAUACCAGACAUCAAAAAGGAAAAAAAAAUGCACUACUUCGUCAUUAUACAAAUUCAUAACAUAAUGCCAACAUAUACUCCCAGAAUGGCAAAAAUGAAAAAGAAGGCAGUUACUAUAAUUUUUCAGUGGGAAUGUAGAACAACUAGAGCUAACAUAAUGUGUUGACUGAAAAGCAAAGUGUUUUACAACCUUUGGGAAAAUUCAUUUUUUUUUAUUUUAAAGCCAAACAUAACUCUUAGGCAUAUAUCCAUUAGAAAUGCAUACAUAUGUUUGGCUGGGCGUGGUUGCUCACGCUUGUAAUACCAGCACUUUGGGAGGCUGAGGUGGGCGGAUCACGAGGUCAGGAGUUCGAGACCAUCCUGGCUAACACGGUUCCUGGCUAACACAGUGAAACCCCGUCUCUAGUAAAAAUACAAAAAAAUUAGCCAGCCUUGGUGGCGGGCGCCUGCAGUUCCAGCUACUCAGGAGGCUGAGGCCCGAGAAUGGUGUGAACACGGGAGGCAAAGCUUGCAGUGAACCAAAUUCAUCAAAAAGGAGAUCAUACUGGGUAACCUUAAUCAGAUGAGCUCUUUAAAAGAGAAUCCAGACAUUCCCUGUAGAGAAAGAUUUGAAAGUAGAGUUUCUCCCACUGCCCUAGAAGAAACCAGUAACAAUACUGUGAACUCCCUAUGAAGGGGGCCAUGGUACAAGCAACUGAAGGAGGCCUCUAGAAAGUAAGAGUGAUCUCCAGUGGACAGCCAAUCAAUAAACAAUAACUUUAGCCCUACAACCACGUGAAAGAGGACUCUGGGCUGCAAAUGGAAUGCAGCCAUGACUAAAGCAUUGCUUGUAACCUGGUGAGAUUCUGAGUAGUGGAUCAAACUAACUAUACCCAAACUCCCAACACAUAGUGAUUAUGAGAUAAUGAAUUUGUCUUAUUUAACAUCAAUUAGUUUAUUGUAAUUUGUUGCACAGAAAUAAAAAAUGAAUACAGAAAGUUAGGAUAAUGCUUCCAUUUGGUGAGUGGGAGGGGAUUACUGGGAAAGAAAUCUAGUGGAGCUUCUGAAAUGCUAGUAAUGUUCUAUUUCUUGAGUUUGGUAUUAUAUAAAUAAAUAUUGACUUUGUAGAAAUCCAUCAACUAGAUACUUUUAAUAUAUACAGUCUUAGGUAUGCUCUAUAUUAAUCUCUAAAAAAGAGAUAUAUAAAGAAAAAAUGAAAACAGAAUGAACCAUCAAUAUAUAUUGCAUUGUUUUAUGUGCAGAAUAAUUUUAAUACAUAUAUGAAUAAAACUACACAUUCAAUAAUGUCAUAAAUUUAGUUUUAAUAGUUCUUAAAAUGGCUAUAUUUCUCAAUUAAUCUUUUCCUAAAGGUUUUCAGUCCUGCUAUAAUUUUUCUCUUUUUUCAGUCCUGUUUCAAUUUGUAUUCCAUUUUUUCUUCCAAAUAUGGCAAAAAUAAGACAAAUAAGUAAUAAAACUACAGCUAAUUUUUUAAUAAAAUAUCACCACUCCUGUGAUUAAAAUACACUGUAUAUUUAUAUAUUUUAAGUGCCAAUUAACACUAUUGCCUUUCCAUUUCAACUUUGCCAACAAUAUUGAUGAUUUUAGAAAUGGCUCAAGGAAACUUCAUGUGAAAAAGAGUUGCUCUAUGUGGUUGACUCUGAAUAAAUUUUUCCCACUCCCUUUUGAAAGCUUCACUAACAAGAUAUAAAUUCUCCAUUUUUGACAUCUUACUGGCUAGUCUUGUGUUUUUGUUACUGAAUGUACUAUAUUUUAUACAUGAUAUAACACAUUCAGUACUAGUGUUUAAUUUUCUAAUAUUGAGUGUUUUUCCCUUCUGCUUUCAUGUGUUUUAAAUAAAUGUGAUGUAUUCUGGGAAUCAAUAUUUUUAUACUAUCUUACAAUCUAUGAUGAUCACAAAUCUGAAAUUUGAAUAGACACUUUUAGCUCUUGGCCAUUUUAAGACAUUAAAGCUCAUUAGCAAUCAUUUGUCUACAUGAACUACUUUGUCUAUAGCAAAACUGAGAUCAAAUAAAUGGUAGGAAACCUGCCUAAAAAUUUCCUGCUCUUCACACUAAUUUGAAUAUAUCAUCAAUUUUUACUAACAGAUUUGAUAUGAUGGUAAAGAAAGAUAUUAAAAGAAAGGCUAAGUUGAAAUAUGUACAUUAGCAGAUGUUUGUUUAUUCAGUUGCCAGUAAUUUCUAAAAUUAAAUAACUUUAUUUUUAAAUAAUUCCAAGUGAUGCAUAUUCUUUUAAAUAAUUAGAAAUAAUUGUUUUUGAUUGACAAAUUAUGAUUAUAUACAUCUAUAGGAUACAAUGUGAUGUUUUGCUAUAUGUAUACAAUGUGGAAUGAAUAAAUCAAGCUAACUAACACAUA
rnacentral:lncRNA from 1 species